UUUUCCAAUGGUCAUGCCAUUGAUAUGAGCCCAUGUUAGAGCAUAACCUUCUGUCCUUGUAGACCCUAGUCCUGGUUCACACUCUGAGUGGAUGCAGUCCUUAACAAAGUAACUGGUAUAGUGGUUUACUCCAAUGAAAUCUAUUGAAGGUUUCAGUUUUUCAAGCUCAUAUGGAACUGGUGGAAGGUCUUUUCCCAAUAUUUCACGCAUUUCCCUUGGAUACUCCCCUCGGAUAGCUGGGUCCAAAAACCUACAUGUUUCAUUCACCACCAUAACACAAUCUUCAAGAGCCCAUGCAUGAACAACAUGCAUUCAUGCAUAUUCACAAAAUAUAAUAAAGCUAUUUACCAAUUCAUAUAAAAUGCUUGAGCUCUCUCAGCAGCUAUCUUGUCUUCUGAGGAGUUGCUGAUGGGUUCAAACCACAUAGUAUGCACUGCCAGUCCAAUUUUCCCUCCCUGUUUUUUCUGCCAUUCAAACGUUUCGCGUAAGAUUGCUGAUAUUUGGACAACUACAAGUUUUAAACUCUUUAUUCACACUACCUAUUUCUCCCCCUCUAUCUUUUAUAACUAACCUUCCAUAAGAACAGAAUUUCAAUAUAUAAUUCUAAAAUUAUUAUUUUUAAUUCUGAGAUUAAUAAUGUCACACUAAUCAAAGUAUAUGAAAAAAUAUUUAGGUAACAUAGAAAACUCAUAUAUCUUACCUGAUAUUUGGUUCUGUAGAGACCAACUAUAGAGGCAUGGGCUAAGAGAAAGUUAGAACCUACAAUAAAAGGUUCCUUCUCUGAGUUCCCACCAACGGAACAAUUCCCGAAUGAACCAGAACAGCGACCAGGUGGCCAUAUCCCUAUUCUAUAGCCACGAAUAAAUGCAACGUUUGGUUCAUUAAAUGUGAUCCAGUAUUUCACUCUGUCACCAAAGUUCUUGAAGCAUAUGUCUGCAUAAUACUUGAAAUCCUCCCUACAAAAAUCAACGUUACAUUUACCAUAAUAUUCGUGACCACACUCUUUUAUUCUACUUUUAUGUGUUGGUAUCAGAAGUACUUACGCAAUCUUAGGACUUAGCCAACCGUCAUAUCUAUCCACAAGUUCUUGAGGAAUAUCAUAAUGUGAUAUUGUGACAAAAGGUUCUAUUCCUAAAUCAAACCAGAAAAGAAGAGUUAGAGAUAGAAAAAGUAUAUAACAAUAGUGAUAACAAAAGAAUGAAACCUCUGGAGAGAAGUGUGUCGAUUAGCCUGUUAUAGUAAUCAAUCCCAGCCCGAUUCACCUUGCCGAAUCUACCCUCUGGAUCAAAUUUGUAAUGUAAUAUUAGAGAUAGAAAAAGUAAAUGCAGCUUGUUAUUUUUAAGGAUUCAAAAUUAUUACAGUCUUAACCUUUCAAGAUAAUUAAAUUAACUAAUGUUUUCAGCUUUUGAUGCAAUAUUAAUUAUUGUAUUUAUAAUUUCUUUUCAGCAAGUUACAUCAAUUCAAUAUUUGUAUUUUCAACUGAUAAUAAGACCAGUGUUUGAGAAGAUUAUUUUAAUGUCAACAAAAGUUCAGAAUUAUGAUAUGUGAGAAUGAGAUUGUACAAUUAAAAUUUUAAGAAAUUAAAAUGAAAAAGUUUGAUUAAUUUUUUAAUAAAAAAGAAAACUUACUGGGGAGAAUUCUGGCCCAUGAUAAUGAAAACCGAUAACUGUUGACUCCAAUGUAAUCCAUAAGAUCCACGUCUUCCUGUUUUUUAACUCAUAUCCAUUGAACAAUUAGUUGAAUUGUAUCACUCAAAUUAAUUAAGACCAAAAAAAUCAUGCAUAUAUUAUACUUAACUUUAAAUCUAAUUUCAAUCUAACUAUUUAAAUUUAUAUUAUAUUUAACUCGAGCUUUAGAUUAAUUUUUUAAAGAUUCAAAUCAUAUUUUAGUCAUAUCUCAACACUAAACUCUUAAAAAGUAUAUCAUUCACUCUUACAGAAGUCACACACCUAUUAAAAUAUUCAAAUGGAAUAACAAUCACCAUUUCUUAGAAGUAUUUCAAUCGACGCAACUAAAAGUUUGACCUUGGAUCCGUGUAAAGUUCCGUCAUGCUUCUUUUCCUUAUUCUAAUUGGAUUUUGGAUCCUUUAACUUGUGUGAGGUUGGUUCAUUAAUGUAGUUAGAUAUUUGUAUUGGUAUCACCUUUGUCUAUCUGGUAGGAAUUACUAGUUAAAAGAAUAGUAAUGUGUUUUUCUGUAUAAGGGUUGUAUCACUUAACUUUCAUUUAUUUAUUUUUUAUUAUUGAUAAAAAAAAAAUCAUCAUUCCUAAUUUCACAUUAAACAUGCAUUAAAUAUUAAAAACUAAUUUAUUUUGAAAACUAUCAAUUAACUACAAAUGUUUAUGACAUAUAAAAAGUGUCAAUAGGUUUUUAUUGUGAAAACUAGUUUUAGUAAAUAUGGAGCCAUUUUAAAUUAUUUUAGAUUUAAAAUCAAUAUCAAACUAAUUUUUAAACAUUCAACCUAUUUUAUCUUUAAAAUAUAAAAAAAAAUCAGUUAAAUAAUUUAUAUUUAAAUUAGAAAAUUCUAAACUGAUCAUUUAAAAAAUAUAAAUAUAAAUUUAUCUAGAUUUGAAUUGGAUUUUUGAAAUUAAGGCAACCACAGUAAUGCAGGUUGCCCAUGACAUAGACUCAUUUAACGUAAAGAUGCAUUCACCCAAAUCAAUAGCUCUUUCUUUGACUUUUGUGCCAUCUUUAAUCAGAUCCACAUCUUUUUUCUUUUAAAUUUUAAUAUCCACCUACAUGCCUUUUUUCUGAAAAAUUAUUAUAGUUUCAAUUUUUUUAAAAACAAAUUUAGUUCAUUAACACUCUCACUUUAUUGAAACAUUAGUUUUUUUUUUAUAUUUUACUUAUCUUUAAAUUAAUUAUUUUUACGUAUUAAUAAAAAUAAUUUUUUAUGAAGGCAAUUAUUUUAAGGAGAGAUAUGUUUGGAGACAAUAGGGUGCAGAUAUUUUACACAUUUAUGUUAUUUAUUUGUCUCUCUUAUUGAAUGGAGCAACUUUUGGAGUCUCUCAAGAAUGGGUACCCAUAAAUGCUGGUUUGGGUGGAUAUAUGAUUUUUUAUUAAAGUUAUGUAUGAAUCAUAACUUUUUGUGUGUGUAAUAAACCAUCUCUGAAAUGUUUCACAAUUAUUCUAUUUUUUUAAUAAAAAAUAUUAUACUAGCAUUAUCAUGAUCACCAUAAAGUUAAUAUAACUAUUAAAUCCAUCAAAAAGCAUUAGACAUUAUAUAUUUAUUGGCACCAAAUAGAAGAAACAAUAGAAAUUGACAUCUUAUCUUUAACUAAAAAUAUAUGAAUUAAAAAUAUUAUAUUUCUUUAUCUAAUAUUAAAUUGUAGGUUUACCAGUCAUUUCAACUUAUUUAAGUACGGUCUAUAUUGAAAUGAAAAUCUAACAACUAAAAAAUUAUUUUUGAUUUUAGACUAUAUUUGUUUUAAGCUUAACUUGUUAAAUUGCAAGGUCUAGUUCAAGCCACGUAUUUUAUGGAUUACGAUUCUUUUUAAGUCCAACUUGUUCUUAUAUAAAAUCGCCGAAAUUGGUUCCAUUUCAAAAUAAAUAAAUAAAUAAUAAAAAUAAUUUAGAUAAAUAAAUAAAUAAUAAAAAUAAUUUAGAUAAAAAAUAAAUAAUAAAAAUAUUUUUUAAAAUUUAAUUCUUAUAAAUAAAACUAAAUUUAUUAUUACAUGUAAAUUUAUAUAAAUUAUAAUAUAUUUACACAUAUUUAACGGAAAUAAUGUUAUUCAAUUACUUUUAACUUAAAUUAUUUGUUCUCAUCAACCUACCUGCAUCCAUUUGAUUCGAUGUACUAAAUAAAACAACCUUAAUUUGAAUUCUGUUAUUUUUUUUAUCCAACCCAAUUUUAUUUAUCGACCUUGUUAGAUUAUGUUUACUUUGAUAUCUCCCCCUAGAUUGCAUGUGGUUAAACGAGUUAGUCAGAAAUCAAGAGUAAAAUAUAAAUAAAAUAACAGUCACUAAAUAAACAAAUAUUGACUUCUCCUCUUUCAAUGGACUUUAGUUGCUAAUCAUUGUUUAAUUUCAUGUAUGAUAAAGUCCAAACAAAAGAUGUUGGAUUGAAUUGAAACAAGGAACCAAAUUUGUUUAAAUCCGCAAGUUAUGUGGACUUCACUGAAAAGGACUCAUUUAUUUAGGUUCUACAUUAAGCUCACAAAUAUAUUUUUAAAACUAAAAAUUGAAUAAUGGUGCCCACAAUUAAAAAUAAAGGAUGAGAAUUGCAUAAAAUUUAAAACUAAAGUUAUAAACAAUUAAAAUUAUGGAGUUUAAAUUUAAAAAAAAAAAUACUAAAACGACCGAUUUUAUAAAAUAUAAGUAUAAAAAUUACAAAUAAAUCUAAAUAUUUUAAAGUGAAAAGUGAUGGAAGACACUGGAAGCUUUCAAACACACAUCCUUCAAAUUAUAAUUGAGGAUUGUGUUUUCUUUUAAUAAACUGAUAAUUAUUUGUGUCAUAAGUUUUCCUUGAGAAACAAAGCGUUUAUGUGUAUUUAGACUGUGUAGAGAUUUGAGAUAGUAGAUUUAGAAUAAUUUGAAUAGAAAGUGUGAAAAAUAAAAUUGUUUGAAUUGAAAUAAGUUAAAAUGUUUUUGUGAUUAUUUUUAAAAUUUAUAAGUGAUAUUGAGAAUAAAGAAAUGAAGUGAUGUGAAUUUUUUUUAUUUUAUUAUAAUAUAAUAUGAAUAUGAAUAUGAAUAUGAAUAUAAUAUAUAUUUAAUAGUUUGUUAUAUAUAUAUAUAUAUAUAUAUUUUUUUAUUUUUUUUUUUUUUGAAGUGUAAUUCUUCGUAAAUUUGAAGAAAAAAAAGCUGAAUUAUUUUUAUCUCAUUUUCUGUUUUUUUUUUUUUUGUAAUUUAUGGCCUUUUUCUUCUUCUUAUCAGUCGUAGUAAACAUGACAUUAGUGAGGCAGAAAUAGAAGUAAGACGAUGAUACCUUAUAACGAUGGUAAUGAUCAUCAGCAACAUCACCAUUACUUCCAUCAAUUACAGCUCCUGAAAUGGUAGAAGGAUGUACUAUAGUAUAAAAGUCCAACAAAUGUUAACCUAAAUUUAUUAUAUAUAAAUAUAUAUAUAAAGAUAUUUUGGAAAUAGAAGAAAAGAAUUUAGGAAAACCCUAGUUUAAUAAUAAGACUAUUUAUCAAUUUAAAAGAUAGUUGAAUGAGGAAAAAAAAAUAGAGCAGAAAUUUAGAAAACCUACUUAGUAGUCUUAGUAUUAGUAUUUUGUAGGUUUAAUGAUAGUUAGUGUUACCAGUGUUUUUACCGAUCUAGAUCUAUCAUUGGUAUUUUCAUUCACGUUUACCUAAAUAAAAUAUUAAACAUUAAACUUCAUUCUAAAGUGCCUAUGUCCUAUGGAAGAAAUCCUAAAAAUUCCCACCAACAACUCCAACACCGGCACCACUCUAUCAGCGCCGCCCAGUGCCGCCAGCCUUCGCGCACACUAGGUCAGACGCCACAACACCGCUCGCGCUCCAACCGCCGCGCCGUCCAGUGCCGUCAGCCUCCGCGCACGCCAGGUCAUACGCCGCAACAAGAGCAAGCGCCAACCCUAGCAAACCCAAAACACUCCCGCGGCCCAAAUUCCUGUUGCGCGGCCUAAUUUUCUGCUGUACCCUGCAGCCCAUUUCUUGCUGCACCCUAUCACUACCAAAACACUCUACCCCACAAUUAAACAAAUGCUCAAACGGUCCAACCCUAGCCCAGCAAGCACCAGCGGUCCAAUUACGAUUAAGAUCCCAUUUUGAAGGAUAAAAUGUUUUCUGGGACAAAUAGUAAUAUUAGGAUAGACCAAUAGUAAGAUAUUCUUGAAAUAAAAGAGAAGAGAAGAAUUUGGUAAUAAUAAGACUAUUUAGGCUUAGAAUUAGUUAAUCAUAGUAUAACCCUUUACUGUUAUAUCACCAUCCAUCUAUAUUUAUCAAUUUAAAAGAUAUUUGAAUAGGUUGAAGUUAGAGAUUUAGAUUUUGUUUGUAUAGAAAAUGAGGAAAAAAAAAACAGAAAUUUAUAAAACCUAGUUACUAGUCUUAGUAUUUUGUAUGCUUAAAGAUAGUUAGUUAUAGUAUAGGUAGGAGUGUUUUUACUGUUGUAUCAAAGCAUGUACCAUUUGAUUCUUUUUUCAAUAAACAAUAAGUAUAUAUUAUACAAAAAUAAUAAUGAGUAAGAAUGUGAACCUGGCUUAUGGGUGAAAACGUCCCAGUUAUUUAGCCCCUUUCCAUCACUCAAGUAAGCUCCCUCAAUCUGCAAAAUUAUUCAUUAUUUCAAAUAUGCCAAGCUACGAUCACACAACUAAUUUGUAACUUCAUCUCACAAAAUCAGUUUGAAAGAUGAAAUAUGAACAUCUUGAGUGUGGAAAUGUGAAUGAUGUAACAAAAUUAUAGAAAGAGUUGCAGAAAAGAACCUGAUAUGAAGAAGAUGCAGUUCCAAAAAGAAAGUUGGUUGGAAAUGGAGAGGAAGUUGAAUGGUCUUUGAGGGAUAGAAAAUCAGCAGCACCCAAUCCCAAGAAAAUGGAGAUAGAGAAGCUUAGUGCAAAGAGUGGUAGGAGUGGAACUUCCAUAUUUUCUGUGUUUAAGGGAAUGUCGACUCACACAUACUUAUAUAUAAGCACAUUGCCCAUUACCAACCAAUAGAGAGCAUAACGUCUGAGAAGUGAUGAAGCUAAUCAAGGGACAUUCAUGGAUCACAAGGACUAUUUUGUCAUUUGCCUGUGGUCUUGAGAUGGGCGCUUUAAUAUUAUUCUAGUAAAUAUUCAAUUUCCACCUAAAAAAUAGUGCACUAGAUAAUAGCUCUUCUAUUCAAAUUUUCAUGUAUAUUGGUUUUUCAUUUAUACUUGUAUCUAAUAAUAGCCCCUUGUAAGCAUAUAUAUUAGUUUUGUUUUAUGAUAGUAUGAAAUUGAGAAUCUGUGUUUCAUGAUUUUGGAAAUGAUUAUUUAUCAAAUAUGAAAGAGACCCGUUUAACUUUUUUAAAUGAAAAUAUAAAUUAAAAAAAUAUUAUAAGAUGUUUUUCAUUUCAGUUUGGUUUUUGUCAUUUUAAUUUUAAUUUUUUUUUAGUUUCUAUGAUUAACUUUUGUGUUAAACCUAACAAUAACGAUGUUACUUUAAAUUCACAAUCGUGUGUGUUUAUCGUUAUUUUGUUAAGGGUUGAGCUGUUCUUGUUCUAAUCAUGGCGGAGACCACACUUGUGUAGGGUCCAACACAAGCACCAUGCAAAAAUUUAAAAAUAUAUCAUAAAAAUUAUCUUUACAUUUAUCAACAUUUCUUUCUAAUAAUUUAUUUUCUGAUAUUUUUCUUUUCGAAGGCGAUUCAUCGUAGAUACUCUCAGGUAGAAUUUUAUUUAAUCUAUGAUAUAAUUUAUAAGAAUAAUAAACGAAAUAUUUAUAUUGAUGUGCACUUUCUGUUAAAAGGAAAAAAAGUUGUUGACGAAGCAAAAACGUGAUUGGUGAUGAUAUUAUAUUGGGCUAAAUGUUAACGACACGUUUUUUUUAAUUCUUUAUUUGAAAUUAAUUAAAAAAAUAUUAUUUGUUAAUAUAAUUUCAAAACCUAGAGAAAUAAAUGUAAUAUGAAAUCCACUAAAAUUAAUAUUUUUCAAUAAAUUUAUAAGUUAUAAAAAUAUUUUUUUACAAAAUGUAUAGCCUACAUUCCUCUCGGUGUAGUUGAUACCAACUUUGUUACCUAAAACGAAAAAUCUUAACAAGUUAUUUAUUUAUUUGUGUUUCUUCCUUUGGUAUUUUAUUUAUUUAAUUUAUCUUGUAAUAAAAAAAUAAUAUUAUUAGAAAUUUUAUUAAUAUAUAAAUUUUGUAAAGAGGAAAUUAAUUUGUCAAAAAAUAUAAGGGAUUUAAAUGAGAUGAAGGAAAUAAAAUAUAAAUAUUCUAUUAUUUAAGUUUAAAAAAAACUUAUAAAAAAAUUAAUUAUUUAAACUUAAUUUUAUAAAAAUUAUCAUCUCUUUAAAAUAUUUUUUUAGGCGGAUAGGCUUGCACUUAUGACUGCUAGAAUCAUUUCUCCUAAUUAAUAUGAGUUUGUGCAGGAUAGGCAGAUUUAUGAUUGCAUUGGUAUUUCUUCUAAAGCUAUUAACAUGUUUUCUAAAAAGGUUAGAGGAGGUAAUGUGACUUACAAAGUUGAUAUUCAUAAAGUCUUUGACACUCUGAGUUGGAAGUUAUUAUUAUUAGUUUUGACACGCUUUGAUUUUCACCCCUCGUUUGUCGGUUUGAUUAGUACAAUUCUUCGUUCAAUUAUGCUUUCUAUCAGAAUAAAUGACAGUUUGGUGGAUUUUUUUCCUUGCAGUAGAGGUGAAAGACAAUGAUCCUUUUGUCUCAUUUACUUUUUUAUCUUGCUUAGAAAGUUCUUAGUAGAGGUAUCUCUAAGCUUAUGAAUGAUAAGACAAUUUUACAUAUGACUAAUCCGUAAGGUUAUCUCACUCCCUCUCAUAUUUUAUAUGUUGAUGACAUAUUUGUUUUUUGUAGGGAGAUAUUAAGUCUCUAAGAAAUUUUAGUAUUUUUCUUAAAACAUAUAUGGUGAUUUUUUUGGAUAAUAUGUUAAUAACUCUAAAAGUAGUUUUUUCAUCAUGGAUAAUUCUACAAGAUUUGUUACAAAAAUUCAACAUAUUAUUUUUUAUAGUCAUGCUUGUUUGUCUUCAAUUAUUUAUGAGUGUUUAUCUUUGUUGGUGCUUAACCUUUGAUUGAUAAAGUCAAAUUGAAGUUAGCAUCUUGGAAAGCUAGAGUAGAGUUAAACGUUUGUGAUGUUGAUGUUAGUGAUUGAUGAAAUGAGAUAUAAAAUUUAAAAUUUAGACAAUAGAAAGUGAACUUAGAGUUAGACACUUGAUAUAUGUUUAGUGAAUAAAUUGAAUAUGUAACAUAAGAGUAUAUAGAUAAUUUGUAAAUAAAUUUUAUAAAUUAUGGAUAUAUAUAUAUAUAUACUAAAUUACCUUUUUAUUAUUAUGUGGUUUAUAUUACGAUGUUAGUAUAAUAAUUGUGUUCUUACAUAAAAAUAUAUGUUAUGAUUAAAUAUUAAGUGAUGUAUGUAUAGAACUUCGUGAAGAGAAAAAUAAAAUUACUUAAAAUGUAAAAUACUAGUAUGUAUGAAUAUAAAGUAAAUGUAACAUUUUUUGGGUGUUUCAAAUUUCAUCCAUCUAUUAUACAUAAAAUAUAUUGAUAAUGGAAGACUAAAUCUUUCUUAAUUAACAUAAAAAAGAUAUUGAAAAAUUGACGUAAAAUAUUUAUGAUUAUGCUAAUUUUUUUCAUUAAUUCUUUGUUACUAUAGCGAAGAUGCUGUUUUAAUAAAAUCAAAAUAUUUUUUUAUUUUGUGUAAUGUUACUAUUUUUAUUCAUGUAAUUAAAAUGUGUAAGCUAUUGUGGGCGUGAAUAACUAUAGAUAGUUCCACUAUUAUCAACAGCCCAUUCCACGUGCACCCGCUUCCCAGCCUCGAAAUAUCUGCCCAACAACCGACAAUCACUUUUUUAUAAAAUAUCUUUGUGGUACGGAAGUUCAAUAAUUUCUCAAAGAAAACAUUUCUUAAAUAUAAAAAAAUUAUAAACCCUAAAUAAUAGGAUACGUCUAAAUAAACCUCAUACUUUGAAAGAUAUAGAAAAUUUGUUGACAAAUUUAUUUAUUAUAUUUGUCUUGUCUUUUGCUAUUCAUCUGGUUGGUCAUUUUAGGUAAGCUCAUUGUCUUGUUCAUGAGAAUAUUGGCAUUAUUUCACAUAUUUAAAAAAGAGAGAGAAACACUUAUAUGUACUUAUAUGUUAUAUGAAGAUAAGAGAAAUACAUGGAUGUGUGAUUAUUAUGAUGAUUUGAUAAGAUAUCUCAUUCAGAUAUUCCCAUGUUAGAUAUUUUCGUUUUAAGGUUUUAGAACAUAACUAGUAACUUAACUACACAAGGUUAAAUAUUUUUUUUUGCAAUUUAAAGAAAAUGUCUUAAAUAUGAGUUUUGUAGAAAAUUUAUUCUCGAUGUCUCAAUAAUACAAAAUACAAAAAAAUUAAUUGUAAUAAUCCUAUUAAUUUGAAUCAUGACGAGAAUUAACACAUUUCUAUAAAUAUAUCGAUCAAUCUCAAAUUAAAGUUUAGACUUAAUAAUAUUUAUUAAUCUUAAUUAUCAAAUAUUAGAAACUAACUUGAGUGUUGGAGAAUCAAACACUUCUCCUAUUUUGAGUGAAAAUUGAAAAUCGAGACAUUUAUAAUAGAACGGAUAUCAAAGAGACUCAAAAAUAGAAUUAACAUUAAGAACGAAAUCUUCCUAACUUAUAUAAAAACAUAUGAUAUUAUUUAGUUGUCACCUUGUAUAAAUAAAAUAAUUCUUAUAACGAUUAAGACUUUUGUGAUUUUGUUUAAGAUAAGUUGUUCUUGAAAUAAAUUUAUAUAAAAUUUAUUAGUAAAUAUAUUUUUACUAAGUUAUUGAGAAAAUUUACAAUUUAUAUUUUGAAACAUAUUUUUAUGAAUACAUAAUUAGGUGGAGCUUUUCUCUCAUAUUUUCAUUCUGAAAUCUACAUUUUUGCAUCAUAACAAAAUUCUAAGCUAAUGUAACGCCAAGGCCAUAAAUAAGUAUUUUGGAGAUAUAUGAAUACUACAAAAUUUCUGAAAUGGCAUUAAAUUAAUACGAAAACACCAUGACAGACAGUUCUUAGUUAGUUAGGAUUGAAAGGUUGUUUGUCUUUUCGUUUCACCAUCUUCGGUAGGCUUUCUGUCCGUUCACUUUCAUCCUUAUCAAGAAACAAUGGUAUUACGAAAGUAUUAAAUAUUAAAUAUAGUUACAUAAACAAAAAUAAUUUAUAUAUUUUGAUUGAUUUGAGGUAUGAUGCUCAGUAUGUACGGAGAAAAAUAUGUAGCAGGAUUCAGUAUUCAGGGUGAGCUUCAUGGUGAUGUAUGAUUAUUUUAAUAUGCUAGCCUUGAAUGGAUUAUUCCUUAGUUGAUACAUGGUUAUGUGCAUGCUGUGAUGUACGGUGAGCGUUAUAGCACCUUUUCUAGCAGAGUCAAGUGUGAACAGGUAAACCAGAGGAUAAGACAUUCACCGAAAACUUGUUAUAACAUCUGAAUAGGACGUGUUAUUAAUGUCUUUGUAUUGUAUUUUGCCGAUCUCUGUCGCCAAUUGGGCCAGGAUGGCUAACAAUUGCUUGCACGAAAAUGCUAGUGAUUAUGGAGUUAUCUUCAAACUAUUUUAAUCAACAUCAUCAAUAUUUUAACAGAUAUUCCUCAAUUAUUGUUCAUCAACGAUUUUAGGUUUCACUGGUUCUCAUGAUUACAUGCAUUUCUAAGAGUAUGUUAUCACUUCCUCCAAUGAGUUCUCCUUCAUUGUUUUUCACUCCCAAGAUAGACCUUGAUGUUCCAUUUACUGCAUUCACCACGAAAUAUUUAUGUAGAUGAUUUCUAUUUACUAUUGUUCUAACUAACUCUUUUUACAACAUAUUUUUCCUUAUAAUUUAUUGUGUUUGAAGUUUAAGUGUGGCAAGUUUAUCAUCAAUUUACAAACUUCUGAUUUUAUAUUUAUUUUAACAGAUAAAACUUUUCAUUAAAUUUCAAGUAAUGGAUAUAUGUAGUGAACAGAUUGCAGUAGAUUGAAGCCCAAAAGUCUAAAGAAAACAACACCGAAUACACACUUUAACUUCUUCAACCCAUUAAUUUCUUGACUCAUAUAUUUCAGAAAGUUGAUUCCCAAAUAAGUGAGAGGUGACCCUAAAAACUAACGAGGUACAGGAAGAUAUAUCAUAAUAUAGAACUAAGAAGGAAUUAUAUGCAGUCCUUCAUCCAUGCUUCUAUUCUUCCUUGAAAGUAAAUUGUAUAUCAUUCCAUUAAUUCUUUGUCAUUCUUGAGUAUGUGGAGGUUUCAUGCCUGGGCCAGAGGCAUGAAGAGCAAUGAAGUUUUUGUACCAAGAAGCAGACAUUCUUGGAGUUCUUUGGAGAGUGUCAUAGUCCACACGAUGAAGUCCAAACCUUAUAGAGGAUCCCUCCGUCCACUCAAAGUUGUCAAGCAAAGACCACAAAAAGUACCCUCUCACGUCUGCUCCUUUCCUGUUCAUGCAACAACAAACAUUUUCUUGACCAAAAGGGCUCAUCCUGUUCUUGCUUUCUAAUCACUUAUUUCAUAAUAUGUUAUCAAGACAAAAAAAAAAUUGUGCAAGUUUUGGUGUGUAUAUUUUUCAGACUAAUAUGGGUAUGUGAACACCUUAUUGCUGUUGCCAAGGAAUCCAAGUAAGCACGCAAGUACUCCACUCUUUCCACAUCAUUGAUCAUUUCUUUAGUGGUGAGGUUGGAGUUCUCCCUCAUCCCAACUCCUAUGCAAGACAAUAUAUACAAUUCAAAAUCAAUAUUUCAAACUAGGUUGUGUCUUUACUCUCAUGUUAUUCUCCAUGUAACAGCUAAUAAAGUUUUAUCAAUUCUUUCUAACAAGUUCAAAAACUCCACCAAAUGUCAUGGAGAUUGACCAAAGCAAUAUACAUUUGCAUACAUACAUAAUAUAUGCCUUUUAUUAUAAGAUAUUGUUUUAAAAAAACCAACAGCCCUUUUUUUGUAAAGCAUUUUAUAGAAGCAUUGAUUGUUUUCUUUGUUAGAAAUGUUUUGUAUUAAAGAUUGGAGGGAAGAGUGAUGUGUAUUUCUACUCACCAUUUUCAGUAAUGAACAUUGGUAUGUUGUUGUACCUCUCCUUAAUGUAAGUCACAAUCUUCUCCAUGCCUUGUGGGUAAACAUACAACCAGUGAAGCGAAGUCUGCAUACAUGAACUUCAUAUGCUUAACAUUAUUUUCCAAAUUGAAGGUGCAUGGUCUUCGAUCAAGAAAAGCUAUAUAGAGGGUUUCAUAUACACACACCGGUUCUCCAAUGCUCAUGCCAUUCAUUUUAGCCAAUUUUAGAGCAAAACCUUCUGUCCUUGUAGACCCUAGUCCUGGUUCACACACUGAGUGGAUGCAAUCCUUUACAAAGUAACUAGUAUAGUGGUUUACUCCAAUGAAAUCUAUUGCAGGUUUGAGUUUUUCCAGGUUAUAUGGAACUGGUGGGAGGUCUUCUCCCAAUAUUUCACGCAUUUCCCUUGGAUACUCCCCUCGGAUAACUGGGUCCAAAAACCUGCAUAUUUCACCAGCAUAA
rnacentral:lncRNA from 1 species